AUGAAUCGACGAACACCUAGAUCUUCCGCACUCGCCUCCAUCCUUUUCAUCUCCGACGCCAGAGCUCCACCGAAAACACCCUUCGAUGCGCUCUCCAACAGUCACUAUCACGAAGUUACUCCCACUGGCAAUUCUUUAUGGCAGAAGAAGGGAAGCUGUUUGAGCUGUUGUCACACGAAAGAGAUGAAGAAAAGGAAUUGCAAGACUGAGGGAGAAAAAUACCUCUCUGUUUUUCAUAUGUGGUUGGUCUUUUCUAUUUUUUUAAUUAAAUUGGGGUUUAUAUUAUGUUAA